UACGUAGGGACCAAGCGUUGUUCGGAUUUACUGGGCGUAAAGGGCGCGUAGGCGGCAAUUCAAGUCAGCUGUGAAAUCUCCGGGCUUAACCCGGAACGGCCAGCUGAUACUGCUUUGCUAGAGUGCGGAAGGGGCAAUCGGAAUUCUUGGUGUAGCGGUGAAAUGCGUAGAUAUCAAGAGGAACACCUGAGGUGAAGACGGGUUGCUGGGCCGACACUGACGCUGAGGCGCGAAAGCCAGGGGAGCAAACGGG
rnacentral:rRNA from 1 species